UACAGAGGUCUCAACCGUUGUUCGGAUUCACUGGGCGUAAAGGGUGCGUAGGCGGUCGGGUAAGUCUGACGUGAAAUCUUCAAGCUCAACUUGGAAACUGCGUCGGAUACUAUUCGGCUAGAGGAAUGGAGGGGAGACUGGAAUACUUGGUGUAGCAGUGAAAUGCGUAGAUAUCAAGUGGAACACCAGUGGCGAAGGCGAGUCUCUGGACAUUUCCUGACGCUGAGGCACGAAAGCCAGGGGAGCAAACGGG
rnacentral:rRNA from 1 species